AAAAGUGGAUUAGCGGCGGACGGGUGAGUAACACGUGAGUAACCUGCCUUAGACAUUGGGAUAGCCUCGGGAAACCGGGAUUAAUACCAAAUAAAAUCAUAAUGACACAUGUCAUAACGAUCAAAACUCCGGUGGUCUAAGAUGGACUCGCGCCCCAUUAGCUAGUUGGUAGAGUAAAAGCCUACCAAGGCGACGAUGGGUAGCCGGCCUGAGAGGGUGAACGGCCACAUUGGAACUGAGAAACGGUCCAA
rnacentral:rRNA from 1 species